UACGUAGGGGGCAAGCGUUGUCCGGACUCAUUGGGCGUAACGAGCGUGUAGGCGGCUCGAUAAGUCCGUUCUGAAAGUCCAGGGCUCAACCCUGGGAUGCGGAGGGAUACUGUCGGGCUCGAGUCCGGAAGAGGCGAGUGGAAUUCCCGGUGUAGCGGUGAAAUGCGCAGAUAUCGGGAGGAACACCAAUGGCGAAGGCAGCUCGCUGGGACGUGACUGACGCUGAGACGCGAAAGCGGGGGGAGCAAACAGG
rnacentral:rRNA from 1 species